UACGUAGGGUGCAAGCGUUGUCCGGAAUUAUUGGGCGUAAAGAGCUCGUAGGCGGUCUGUCACGUCGGCUGUGAAAUCCCGAGGCUCAACCUCGGGUCUGCAGUCGAUACGGGCAAACUAGAGUAUUGCAGGGAGACUGGAAAUUCCUGGUGUAGCGGUGAAAUGCGCAGAUAUCAGGAGGAACACCGGUGGCGAAGCGGGUCUCUGGGCAGUUACUGACGUGGAGGAAGCGGAAAAGCAUUGGGGGAGCGAAACAGGA
rnacentral:rRNA from 1 species